rnacentral:rRNA from 1 species
GACGAACGCUGGCGGCGUGCUUAACACAUGCAAGUCGAACGGAAAGGCCCUGCUUGCAGGGUACUCGAGUGGCGAACGGGUGAGUAACACGUGGGUGAUCUGCCCUGCACUUCGGGAUAAGCCUGGGAAACUGGGUCUAAUACCGGAUAUGACCUUUCAUGUAGUGUGGGGGUGGCAAGAUUUAUCGGUGUGGGAUGAGCCCGCGGCCUAUCAGCUUGUUGGUGGGGUAAUGGCCUACCAAGGCGUCGACGGGUAGCCGGCCUGAGAGGGUGGACGGCCACAUUGGGACUGAGAUACGACCCAGACUCCUACGGGAGGCAGCGGUGGGGAAUAUUACACAAUGGGCGGAAGCCUGAUGCAGCGACGCCGCGUGGGGGAUGACGGCCUUCGGGUUGUAAACCUCUUUCGACAGGGACGAAGCUUCGGUGACGGUACCUGUAUAAGAAGCACCGGCUAACUACGUG